ACGAGAGCUAUCUCCUUACGCCAACAGUCACGAAUGACAUUUUGCUAAGCACAUAGCUCUAGUGUGCGCCGGCCUUUACAUUUAUACUUUCAUAUUUCAAUUCAUUUUAACAAAUUGAUAGUGACAUUUGUUUUUUUUUGACAGGAUGGCACAAUUCAAAUGGAUCCUAUAGUUUCGACGGAAAAAAAUUGAACGCGAAGAAAAACGUCAAUCUUAGUUUCAUAUUUGCAAGUACGGCAAACGUGAAACCGCUAACGGCAAACCGCGGUUUGCGGUUAGGCGUAAAUAAAAUAAACGUCAAUCUUAAGGUGUCUAAUGAGGGCCUUUUCCCCCACAUGCACAGUUACCGCGCGUA